AUUGAACGCUGGCGGCAGGCCUAACACAUGCAAGUCGAACGAGUGGAGGAAGGGUGAGUAAUGUAUGGGAAACUGCCUGAUGGAGGGGGAUAACUACUGGAAACGGUAGCUAAUACCGCAUACCAUUGGAUGUGCCCAGAUGGGAUUAGCUGGUAGGGGGGGUAACGGCUCACCUAGGCGACGCUCCCUAGCUGGUCUGAGAGGAUGACCAGACACACUGUGACUGAGACACGGUCCAGACUCCUACGGGAGGCAGCAGUGGGGAAUAUUGCACAAUGGGCGCAAGCCUUAUGCCGCCAUGCCGCGUGUAUGAAGAAGGCCUUCGGGUUGUAAAGUACUUUCAGCGUGGAGGCGUUACCCGCAGAAGAAGCACCGGCUAACUCCGUGCCAGCCGCCGCGGUAAUUC
rnacentral:rRNA from 1 species